rnacentral:rRNA from 1 species
GAGUUUGAUCUUGGCUCAGGAUGAACGCUAGCGGCAGGCUUAACACAUGCAAGUCGAGGGGUAUAGGUUUUCGGACCUAGAGACCGGCGCACGGGUGCGUAACGCGUAUGCAAUCUACCUUUUACAGAGGGAUAGCCCAGAGAAAUUUGGAUUAAUACCUCAUAGUAUUAUGAUAAGGCAUCUUAUUAUAAUUAAAGUUCCAACGGUAAAGAUGAGCAUGCGUCCCAUUAGCUAGAUGGUAAGGUAACGGCUUACCAUGGCGACGAUGGGUAGGGGUCCUGAGAGGGAGAUCCCCCACACUGGUACUGAGACACGGACCAGACUCCUACGGGAGCAGCAGUGAGGAAUAUUGGUCAAUGGGCGCAAGCCUGAACCAGCCAUGCCGCGUGCAGGAUGACGGUCCUAUGGAUUGUAAACUGCUUUUGUACAGGAAGAAACAGUUCUACGUGUAGAACCUUGACGGUACUGUAAGAAUAAGGACCGGCUAACUCCGUGCCAGCCGCCGCAGUAAC